CUACUCCUCUAAGUCGAGUAAGAACUGUUCUCCUUUCGUUCUUUUCUUACGGUCUGUGCGCUCAGUGGCUCCAAAGAAAUGCACGACCCUAUCCGUGUCUACUAUAGCCCAUUUCAAAGGAAGCCGUAGCGGAAAACUAAGAUGAUGCCAAGUUGCUGUAAAAAAAGUUGAGAAUGCAGAGGAUUGUAGUGUGCUAUAAGGAAAUAUGAACAUAGAUGGGAAAUGUAAUUUAAUCUAAAGAAAUGUAAAGUAAUAGAAUUUGGAAAGAGUGUGUGGAGAGUAAAAGAAAAUUGUGUUGAACAGUGAAAGAUUGAAUGGAGCAGAAGAGGAAAAGGAUCUAGGUGUUACAGUGACUAUGAAUUUGACCCCAAACACAUUAGCAAAAAAAAAAAAAAAAAAAAAAAAAAAAAAAAAAAAAUUACAGGAGAAACCUAUAACUUGUUGAGAAGAAUAAGGCUGGUUUUUACAUAUAUGAUGAAAAAAUGAUCAGGAUGAUUGUAUCACUGAUUAGACUUGGACUGGAAUAUGCAGUAGCAGUGUGGUUCUCCUACAAGAAAAGGAUUUAAGGAAGUUGGAGAGAGCUUAGAAAGCGGCAAUGAAGAUGGUAUCGAAUAUCAGUGACUUGAUAUAUAAAGAGGGAUUGGAAAAGUUACAUCUACCAACGUUGAAAAAAAAAAAGGGACCUGAUUGCAAUAUAUAAAGCAUAUGAGGGAGUGAAGGUGGACUGGAGUGACUUGAUGGCUUGGGAUACACGUGAUGUUAAAGGACAUGGAAAGCGGCUGAAGAAGAGCGCUUGUAGAAGAGCCAUUAAAAAUACUUUGCUAUUCAAAGUCAACUGGAGGUAAACAUCUGAGUCAGCCAAGGCACAGUCUAUGGGCAUUUGAUUCUUAGAGUUGAGCACAUCCAGCUGGGCCCCACGAGUCAGCAGCAGCACCACAGCAUCAGUGUGAUUCUGGCGGGCUGCUAUGUGUCUGUGGAUGCAGCAGAAAUCCAACACUGAGUAUAUGCCAGUACUAGAAAUUCAUUGUAACUAAAAGUAAAACUGCUGCCCAUAGUCCAUGCAAUCAUAUAUAUGGAAUUAAUGUAUUUUUGCUAUUUACAGUUAAGAAGCAAGUUAAUCCUAUCAACAUGAGUAAAAUUCAGCUGCCACAAGUGGUCAGGACAUGAUUAAAUAUUCUCUAAAAUAGGGGAAAUAUGCAGCACAAAUUCAAUAGCUCUUACAGAGGAGUAUCUCCAUGAGCAUUCAUGGAACGCAGUGAGCAGCCUCUGUCUAAGACCAUAGAGCAGAUCUCAGUGGAACCAGAGAAGGCUGCCCAGUGCAAGGCUGUGUUCUGUUCCACAUCACACAGCUGAGGAUUACCUCCCCGAUCAAGCAAAAACCUGCAACAGACAAGUCCCAUGAAUAGAUCCCCACAAGAAUAAUGCUUAUGCCCUAAUAAGGAAGCAAAACUGAGAGCAGUUCAGCCAGUAAUGGACUAACAUUCCGAACAAUUAGAAGUUAAUAUCUGUUCAACAAAGAUGCCCAGACCAAUGGGGUCCAGCCUCCCUCAUCUUGCAUAUUGAUGGCAUGUCUAGUCAGCCGGCCAGAUUCCAGGAUGUGCUGGCAAGCUGUCAGAUUUCCACACUUGGCAGCUAGAUGAAGUUCUAGUGAUGGUUCCUUCUCUGCUGCCACAUCCACGCCAGCACCGUCUUCAGGAUUAUCUCCCUUCGACCAGGCUUCCUAGCAAGUGUCAACUCCAACUGAACUUCUUGUGGAGUUUCAGAAGAACCACAGUGAGGACAAAGAGAAAAGUUCAAGCUCAAAUCAAGAAGUCAUGACUUGGAUGAUAUCCACAAGAGCCACUAACCUGAGUGCAAAAAAGGCCACAGCAUGGACAGCAGUUGUGUCGCCGCAGUCUCUGCCGGUGAUUAUCACAUAGCAGCAUGAAAGGAAUCUUUCCACUCACACGAAGAAGUCUGUUGAAAAUAAUUCAAUAAACAAACUGCUCCAUUACAAACAAACACAAAACAAAAACAUCCAAUCAUACGGCCAUCAAAGGAAUCAAUGGCCUGGCAGUACACCUCCCCUGUGGUGACGAUGGCCAAGGGAUUGUACUUGAUGCGACACUUACACAGCACGUUGGUCAGGGUUGGUGCUGCCUGGAGGACACC